UGAGAAUCUGCCCUUAGGAGAAGAAUAACUGCUGGAAACGGCUGCUAAAUCUUCAUAUGUCGCGAGAGGAAAUAACUUCGGUUGCCUAAGGAUGAGCUCACGCCUGAUUAGCUUGUUGGUAAGGUAAUGGCUUACCAAGGCCACGAUCAGUAGCUGGUUUGAGAGAACGAUCAGCCACACUGGGACUGAGACACGGCCCAGACUCCUCCGGAAGGCAGCAGUGAGGAAUUUUCCGCAAUGGGCGAAAGCCUGACGGAGCAAUACCGCGUGAGGGAUGAAGGAUUUUGGUCUGUAAACCUCUUUUCUCAAGAAAGUAGUUCUGACGGUACUUGAGGAAUAAGCAUCGGCUAACUCCGUGCCAGCAGCCGCGGUAAUACGGGGGAUGCAAGCGUUAUCCGGAAUCAUUGGGCGUAAAGCGCCUGUAGGUUGUUUAAUAAGUCUGUUGUUAAAGACUAGGGCUUAACCCUAGGAAAGCAAUGGAAACUACUAGACUUGAGUAUGAUAGGGGUAGAGGGAAUUUCUAGUGUAGCGGUGAAAUGCGUAGAUAUUAGGAAGAACACCGGUGGCGAAGGCGCUCUACUGGAUCAUUACUGACACUCAGAGGCGAAAGCUAGGGUAGCAAAAGGGAUUAGAUACCCCUGUAGUCCUAGCCGUAAACGAUGGAUACUAGAUGUUGCG
rnacentral:rRNA from 1 species